rnacentral:rRNA from 1 species
CAGCCGCCGCGGUAAUACGGAGGGUGCAAGCGUUAUCCGGAUUUAUUGGGUUUAAAGGGUCCGUAGGCGGACUUAUAAGUCAGUGGUGAAAGCCUGUCGCUUAACGAUAGAACUGCCAUUGAUACUGUAAGUCUUGAGUAUAUUUGAGGUAGCUGGAAUAAGUAGUGUAGCGGUGAAAUGCAUAGAUAUUACUUAGAACACCAAUUGCGAAGGCAGGUUACCAAGAUAUAACUGACGCUGAGGGACGAAAGCGUGGGUAGCGAACAGGAUUAGAUACCCCUGUAGUCCCUGUCUCUUAUAC